CCUCCCUCCGACUCGCUCUUCCCGGCGCCUCCCGCCGCCGCCCCGCCCGCUCCUCCCGGCCGUUCCGGCCUCCGCUUUUGGGGAAAGGGAAGGCCCCCACCGCGAAGAGAGUCUGGCAACGCCGGACCGGGACCCCCGAGGGACCUCUUCCUCCCCGCCGCCCACCUCAGAAUUCCUUCCUCCCCGGCCCCUAGUGGGAGCUUAGGCCGGGAGUGACCCCUGAGAGGGAGGAGGAGCGGUGACUCCUGGAACAGCCCGCGGGCGGAGAGGGCUGCGCGAGGGCAGGUGAGUCACCGCUCCGCGCACAGUGGCAGAGCCAUUGAAAACACACCACUCUAUUCAGAACCCCUCCAGAAACACUGAGUACGCGUGGAUACAAAGGAGAAAACCGAAGACACCUGGGCCUACUUGAGAGCGGAGGGUGGGAGGAGCGUGAGGAUCGAAAAACUACCUAUGGCUUACUACGCUUAUUACCUGGGUGACAAAAUAAUCUUUACACCAAACCCCCAUGACAUACAAUUAAUUUAUCCAUGCACAUGUACCCUCUGAACCAAAAAUAAAAGUUGGAAAGUAAAGGAAAAAAAAAAUCACCCUCCAGUGCUUCCCAUCUCACUCUGAAUAAAAUUUAUUUGAUCUCAC
rnacentral:lncRNA from 10 species